AAUAAAAAAUAAAAAUAAAAAACAUGGAUAACUCACUUUUUUUUAUAUCCCUGAGUUCAGAAUAACUCAUAUGUUUAUAUGCAGUUAAUUUUGUACUUUAAUUUUUAAAGUUACAGAAGUCUUUUUGGCCAAAAUUUAUUACCAACUUGCAUAUAUUUACAGAAAGCAUGGUUGUAACUUGAGACAGUGUUACCAAAAUAAGGCAGGCUUAGUUUGGGGAUACUUUAAGAAAGCAACUCCUAAAGCUAAAAAAAUGUAAAGGACUAUGCUCUUUUUUAAAAGACAAUUUUUAAAAGAUAUGCUUUUAUUGAUUUUAGAGAGGUAGGGAGAGGGAGAGAUAGAAAUAUUGAUGAGAGAGAAACAUUGAUCGGUUGCCUUCUGCAUGCCCCCCAGUGGGGAUCGAGCCCCCAUCCUGGGCAUGUGCCCUGACCAGGAACUGAACCAGUGACCUCCUGGUGAAUGAAAUGACACUCAAUCCACUGAGCCACACCAGCUGGGCAAAAAGAUAAAUAUUUUAAUCAAAAGACACAGCAUGUUAUUCUACUCAGUCUUAGCACAUAGCAAGCAAAAUACUAUAUCAGCACUGUAAUCAUCCUAAUUUAAUGUAUUUAUCUCUAAUUAAUCUUACAUAUGUAUAUUACAUGUAAAACAUCUAGAACAGUGACAGACAUGAUAGGUGCUCAAUAAAUACUGGCUGUAAUUAACAACAGAUGAAAGGUUGUAGUCAAUAAUGGAACAGGGGAGCUAUUUGCUUUCCACCAUUCUCACAGCAGUUUAGUAUAUCCUAUGAAAAAUGUGUGCUUAGUUUUAAACAAUGGGUAUUUACUAUUUUUGUAAUUAACCUAGUUCUCCCCUAGUUCUUUUUCCUUAUAUAAAGUAAUUAUAUAAGGAAUGCUAUGCUUUGGUGGGCAGCUGCAUGGAGUAAGUGGGAACAUGAAAGUGUCCAGGAAACAAACGGCAAGCCACAAAACUCUCGCAGUAAUUUACUUUAUUUAGUGUGAGAAACAACAAAUAAGAACAAUGAUUAUAAAAAAUCAAUAAAAAGUGACAUGCAUUUUUGGAAAACCAGACAGUUUCUUUUCUGACUUUAAAUUUCUGGGCACAGGGUACCUGCCUGGAAGUUUAAAAUGCAGGAUGGUUUAGUUUGCUGUGACGGAGUAAAAGAUGCUAUCUUAUUUAUUACAUCUCACUCCUUUCUGACAAGAAGGAUACAAAGGUAGUAGGGAAGAAAAGGAUUAACAUUGAAGGAAUUUACUAAACAAAUGUUCACCUUUGCAUUUUCAUUUGUUUCUUGAAAGAGCUAAGCUGGGAAAGCAAGUCCAAUUGUGACCACAACGUUAAGAUUGAGAGAAUGAAAGGUCCUCAGAGGCAAAAAAUAAAAAAAGUCAAGCUGAGACAUUUAUUAGCCCUAGAACAAGAGAAAAGAACACUUGAUUUUAGGGCAGGGAAAGGUAAAUGUCAAUUUGAAAGGUAG